UCACAAGGUUUUGUUUUAUUUGAGUGCCAAUCGGGCGCAAAAGGACCAACAGGGUUCCAUGAUCGUGACAUGUCUGCUCGUAAUCGGAAAACGACAUUUUACGAAAUUAUUGUCCUGCCAACGACCGUUGUGAAAGCAUCACUGUCUCAUCAUGCGUAUAAUUUUUGUAGUUUAACUUAUCGUGUCACUCAUUAAAUAUACACCGUAAUUGUAUGUUUCAACAACUAGAAAAAUCUAAAAAAAUGAUCUUAGCUUUGACGUUUA